rnacentral:rRNA from 1 species
GACGAACGCUGGCGGCAUGCCUAAUACAUGCAAGUAGGACGCAGUUGCGAACGGGUGAGUAACGCGUAGGUAACUACCUAUUAGAGGGGGAUAACUAUUGGAAACGAUAGCUAAUACCGCAUACUAGUAGAUGGACCUGCGUUGUAUUAGCUAGUAGGUAGGGUAAUGGCCUACCUAGGCAACGAUACAUAGCCGAGCUUGGAGGGUGAUCGGCCACACGGGGACUGAGAAACGGCCCAGACGCCUGCGGGCGGGAGCAGUAGGAAAUCGUCGGAAAUGGGGGGAACCCUGACCGAGCAACGCCGCGGGAGUGAAGAAGGUUUUCGGAGCGUAAAGCUCUGUUGUUAAGGAAGCGGUACUUAACCAGAAAGGGACGGCUAACUACGUGCCAGCCGCCGCGGUAAUUC